UUUAUGGGUGAUGUAUGGUUUACUUGUACAGUUGUACUUCUUUUCUACUUUUGUCUCAUAAUAAUGUAUAUUAGUAAUACCAGGAGAUGGAAAAGAAAUAAGGCAUAACUACUUUUUUCUAAAUAGAUCCCAUCCUUUUAGCAUUCUGUAAUAUGUUUAUUUAUUUAUUUUUAAUGAAUUUACUUUCAUCCAGAAAUGGCUUUCAGAGGCCGGAUAAAAUUAAAGAUUCCCAUAGACAAAGUAGUCAAUUGGAAGAUCUCACGCAGAAGAUGAGGGAAUGCAAAAGGUUGAUAAAGGAGUUUGAUCGUGAAAUUAAAGAUGGGGAGGGAAGAAAUUCCCAAGAAGUGAACAAACAACUCAAUGACGAAAAUCAAUCGAUGAUCAAGGAGCUAAACUCAGAUGUGGCAUUGAGAAAAACGGAAGUAAAUAUUGAUAUUUCUAUUUAUCUAGUCUGAAUAAAAAUUUCUGUUAACAUACAAUUGGGCCCUCUAAAAGUUAUUGAUUCGAUCAAAUCAGAUGGCUAAUAUCAAUUUCCCCCGUGGGCACACUGAUCUUUCAAUACGGUGAUAUAUGUUUGGUGUGGUGUUAGUAGAAGUGUAGACCCAAUAAAGCAAAAGUUUUAGUUCCUUUUACAAUUUUUUCCUCCUAAAUAAAAGGUUUAGUCCUGCGAGUUAUGAAAGGAGGAUUUGUACUGUCACUUUUAUGUAUAACAGGUACACAAUAAGAAAAUUGAGCUUUUUGAUAUGGGAGCAGGUGAACCUACAGCUGAAGAAAAUGUUGAAUUGGCUUCAGGUAAAAUGUUCAGUGGAAGUUGUAGUUGAACUACAAUGCCAUACAAAUGGAUGAAACUGAUCAGGCUAUUGAAAGAUCUAAGCAGGUGAAUUAAUUCAGACUUUUGACUCCAUUUCCCUGGCAGCUUUGUUCUUAAUCCUUCAAAACAUGUAGACUGAGCAAAUGGGUUGCAUUGUCAAUGAGCUUGACUCUAUUCAGUUCUGAAUUAAGGCAUCCCAACUUGUGAAGGAGAUUGGUAGAAAGGUAGCUACAGACAAGGGCAUUAUGCUUUUCCUAUUCCUUAUCAUCUGAGGUGUAAUCGCCAUUAUUGUGGUGAAGAUCUUGAAUCCCAACAACAAAGAUAUUACGGAUAUUCCGGGAUUGGCUCCUCCAGCUCAGACCAGGAGACUGUUGUAUCUAAGGAGCAAAGAACAUUUUGAUUGAUUCCAACAUUAUUUGAAGAAAGAGUUUUCUCCAUCCUGUUCCUACCAACUUGAUUCUUGUACCUGUCACUGGGAGAGGAUUGCUCUUGAGGGGGAAUUCAUUUUGGUCUCUGUAAUUUGAAAUUUUUAAAAUUUCUUGCAUAUCUUGUUUGUGGUUCUGUACUUGUAUGUAAAUCACAGAAGAACAACUUUGUGCCAUGUUUCUUUAUUUAACAUUGGGAAAUCGUAGGGGAUAGGAAAGAAACAAUACUCUACUAGUCUACUGUCAUAUAUGUCAUAUGUGGUGUGUACAUGUCUCAUUCAAAGGAGUUUUAUGUUAUGAAUAUUUCUGUAAUCUACACAUUCAUCUUCAACAUUUUCUGUAGGAUCUGUUUGUAAA